AAGAACCAACAGGGAUUGCCCCAGUAACGGCGAGUGAAGCGGCAACAGCUCAAAUUUGAAAUCUGGCCCCCAGGGCCCGAGUUGUAAUUUGCAGAGGAUGCUUUUGGCGCGGUGCCUUCCGAGUUCCCUGGAACGGGACGCCAUAGAGGGUGAGAGCCCCGUCUGGUCGGACGCCUAGCCUGUGUAAAGCUCCUUCGACGAGUCGAGUAGUUUGGGAAUGCUGCUCUAAAUGGGAGGUAUAUGUCUUCUAAAGCUAAAUACCGGCCAGAGACCGAUAGCGCACAAGUAGAGUGAUCGAAAGAUGAAAAGCACUUUGAAAAGAGGGUUAAAUAGUACGUGAAAUUGUUGAAAGGGAAGCGCUUGUGACCAGACUUGGGCCCGGUGGAUCAUCCAGCGUUCUCGCUGGUGCACUCCGCCGGGUUCAGGCCAGCAUCAGUUCGCCGCGGGGGAAAAAGGCUUCGGGAACGUGGCUCCUACGGGAGUGUUAUAGCCCGUUGCAUAAUACCCUGGGGCGGACUGAGGUUCGCGCUCCGCAAGGAUGCUGGCGUAAUGGUCAUCA
rnacentral:rRNA from 1 species